rnacentral:pre_miRNA from 1 species
UCGAGGAGCUCACAGUCUAGUAUGUCUUAUCCCCUACUAGACUGAGGCUCCUUGAGG